UAUAUGUCCAGCCCACUGGAAUGGUUCUGGUCCAACCCAAAAAGUUUCCUCAUGACCAGGUCAGGGAUUCUGAGGCUGAGGAGGCGAUUCAGAAGCUUGUGAACAGAGUGAGGGAGCUGGAGGAACUGUUCUGUGAUGCACACAGAGAUUGUGAUAUGAAAAGCAAGGUCUGCCAGGCUGAAGCUGAGGAGAAUCACCAGAAGGCUGUGGAGACCAUUGAUCAACUG